CAGCAGCCGCGGGAAUACGAAGGGGGCUAGCGUUGUUCGGAAUUACUGGGCGUAAAGGGCGCGUAGGCGGCCAUUCAAGUUAGAUGUGAAAGCCCUUGGCUCAACCUAGGAAUUGCAUUUGAUACUGUUUGGCUUGAGUUCGGGAGAGGUGAGUGGAAUUCCCAGUGUAGAGGUGAAAUUCGUAGAUAUUGGGAAGAACACCAGUGGCGAAGGCGGCUCACUGGACCGACACUGACGCUGAGGCGCGAAAGCGUGGGGAGCAAACAGGAUUAGAUACCCCUGUAGUCCCUGUCUCUUAUAC
rnacentral:rRNA from 1 species